rnacentral:rRNA from 1 species
AUACGGAGGUUGCAAGCGUUGUUCGGAUUUACUGGGCGUAAAGAGAGUGUAGGUUGUUUAUUAAGUCGGAUGUGAAAUCCCGGGGCUCAACCUCGGAACUGCAUUCGAUACUGGUAGACUAGAGUUCGGGAGGGGUAAGCGGAAUUCCGUGUGUAGCAGUGAAAUGCGUAGAUAUACGGAGGAACACCUGAGGCGAAGGCGGCUUACUGGACCGAUACUGACACUGAGACUCGAAAGCGUGGGUAGCAAACAGGAUUAGAUACCCUAGUAGUCC